rnacentral:lncRNA from 1 species
AGGUAUGAUGUAGAUCUAUAGUUUAGGGUUUAAAGUUUAAAUUUAAUAUUUUAUCUAAACUUUUAAAAAUAUGAAAAUUUUAGAUUAAAUAAAAAAUAUUUGAGUUUUAGAGGUUGUGUUUAAAAUUUAGGUUUUAGAAUUUUGGAUUUAUUUGAAUUUUGGAAACAAAUGAAAUGGAGUGAGAUAGAAAGUGAAACGAGGGUGAAAGGGACAAUAAAUUAUUUCUCGCCCCUUAAUUAUGCAUAACGUUUGAAACUGAAAAUUUUAUGUAUAC